UACCGACGAUUCGAGGAAAGUACGGGUCCAAUGUCACGCGGGGAGUGUUUAAUGUAACGAUAUAUUUGUCGAUUCUAAACCGGAACAGAAAAAAACAUGUCUGCAAAGUUCUUGUUCUUUUACCUUGUCCUCGCCAAUAUUGUUGCGGGAUUACCGUUUCAAAAUAAUAACAAAACUACGUUCCGUGCCGCCGUGUUUGAGCAUGCGGUAACUCUUUUCCCGCCUAAUUCUGUGGUGACAAGACAGAAAGCCCUUGGAAACAUGAUGCUGAAUCUGAAGGAAUACAAACGCCAAGCUGAACUAGCGGGGGAUCAGGGCGUCGACAUAUUGGUAUUCCCUGAGAAUGGUAUAUUUGGACUUGGCCUUUCGAGAGAGGAUUUAGCACCAUAUCUCGAAAAUAUCAUUGACCCCGAAAAAGAAGUUUGGAAUCCGUGCGAAGACCCACAAAAGCAUCCAAACACAGAGGUCCAACAGUACCUUAGUUGUUUAGCUAAGAACAACUCGCUUUACAUUGUCGCAAAUUUCGGAGAUCGCCAACCCUGUGAUGAGUCGCUUGACCCAAAUUGCCAAGUUCAGUACCAGUUGAACACUGAUGUCGUAUACGACAAGCGCGGUGUUUUCGUUGCCAAGUACCAUAAAAUUAAUCUGUAUUUCGAAAAGGCUUUCGACUUUCCGCCUGUUGAUAAAGCAGUAACGUUUGACACUCCGUUCGGUGUAUUUGCCUUGGCAGUUUGCUUUGACGUUCUUUAUUAUGACCCGCUCGUUGACCUGAUUACCAACCACGGUGUACGCAAUGUUGCAUUUCCGACUGCUUGGAUGGACUCGCUCCCUUUUCUGGCUGCCAUAGAGUUUCACUCGGCGUUUGCAGCUGGCCUGGGUGUAAAUUUCCUUGCUGCUAACAUCAACUACCCUCCAAAGAGGUUUCACGGCAGUGGAAUAUACUCUCCACAGGGAGCGAAACAAUUCGUUUACAACGACCAAGAAGCCGCUGGAAAAUUACUUAUAAGUGACCUACCCGUCAUUCACAAACAAGACGAUGUUAUGCCCCCACCGCGGACACCGACGUUGAAUGCGCCUCAGAUGACAGAACCUAUAUAUAGAACAAAAUUACAUUAUGAUCUAUACAACAUAACACUGCUUUCUGGAACCUCGGGUCAUGUCACGGUGUGUCAUAGGUCAAUAUGCUGCCAGCUGAACUACAUCAGAGACAAUACUGAUGAGGUAUUUGCAUUCGGUGCCUUUGACGGCCUACAUGGUACUACCGGGAGGUAUUAUAUGUACCUACAGGUAUGUACAUUGCUCAAAUGUUCCGGAAACGGAAGUGACAGCUGCGGAGUAAGAACUAAGAAUUCUAAGACUUUGUUCCACAGUGUCCACAUCACUGGCUACAAUUUCACCGCUCACAUCUACCCCGAAGUCCUCUUAACUCGAAAUGGAUCACUGGCGCUCUCCGUGGGGAGAUGGAAGUAUAACAAUGGAGUACUUAACGCGCCGACUGGAUUCGAGGCACCUCUGGUGGCAACGAGUUUAUAUGGAAGACUUUAUUCCAUUAAUGACACCAACGGACGUGAAUCCUGGUACCCAAUAAAUCGCGACAAGUCUGAUCUUCACAAUUCCAAUCAUGGUCAGCGUAGAGAGUAUUGUUUGAUAUGUUUGAUAGUGACGUAUCUAUUCACCUUAACGUUGGCUAAACUUUCGUAGACUUUUUGACAUAGAAUUUAGUGAACAAAAAGAUGAUGACUGUCACUUGUAAUCUUGUGUGACUCAUACAUAUAAGGAACUUUGUGAUGAACAAUUCCAUUCGAAAAAAGUGACGGAGCCUACAAUACAAUCGUGUUGUCACACGACGUAAGACGAGGUCAUGGUGUAUGGACGGAAGACAAUCGUGGUGUCACACGACGUUAGACGAGGUCAUGGUGUAUGGACGGAAGACAAUCGUGGUGUCACACGACGUUAGACGAGGUCAUGGUGUAUGGACGGAAGACAAUCGUGGUGUCACACGACGUUAGACGGGGUCAUGGUGUAUGGACGGAAGACAAUCGUGGUGUCACACGACGUUAGACGAGGUCAUGGUGUAUGGACGGAAGACAAUCGUGGUGUCACACGACGUUAGACGGGGCCAUGGUGUAUGGACGGAAGACAAUCGUGGUGUCACACAACGUUAGACGGGGCCAUGGUGUAUGGACGGAAGACAAUCGUGGUGUCACACAACGUUAGACGGGGUCAUGGUGUAUGGACGGAAGACAAUCGUGGUGUCACACGACGUUAGACGGGGCCAUGGUGUAUGGACGGAAGACAAUCGUGGUGUCACACAACGUUAGACGAGGUCAUGGUGUAUGGACGGAAGGAAUUCGUGGUGUCACACAACGUUAGACGGGGUCAUGGUGUAUGGACGGAAGGAAAUCGUGGUGUCACACAACGUUAGACGGGGUCAUGGUGUAUGGACAGAAGAAAAUGAGAUAAUGGCAAUCACGCACCUGUGGCAGUCGGACGAACAUUGCUCUGUUAUGGUUAAUGAUUAAUGAUUAGAUGUAGACUAGAGUAUUCUUGUCUGGAUAUAAAUAUGAUUACAAAUACCUAUACAUUGAUUUUUAUUGACAUAUGCCUGAUUAAGUAAUGUGUUCAUAUGUCAAAUACAUGUAUUAUCAUUGAUUGUGUACAGAUCUAUAAACUUAUCUUUGUAUAAUGAGUAGUCAUAUUAACAAUAAAAAUGUCACA